GCACUUCUCAAUCCCAAUCCGCAUCCUCCUCUACUUCCAGACCUGGCGUCGUCGCUCCUCGCGGCUCCGCGGCGGCGACUGCUGGCCUCCGCCGCCGCCGUAUCGGCUCCACUUCUGCCGCUGCCUCUACUGGACUCGUAAGCGGCGGAUCAAGCGGCGGCGGAAACAUGCUCAGAUUCUACACUGACGAUGCUCCAGGCUUGAAGAUUUCUCCCACCGUUGUCCUCGUCGUGAGCCUCUGCUUCAUCGGCUUCGUCACCG
rnacentral:misc_RNA from 1 species